rnacentral:rRNA from 1 species
ACCUGACUGCUAUCGGAUUGGUACUAAGCCAUGCGAGUCAUUGUAGCAAUACAAGGCGGACGGCUCAGUAACACGUAGUCAACCUAACUCGUGGACGUGGAUAACCUCGGGAAACUGAGAAUAAACCACGAUAGAUCAUAGUGCCUGGAAUGGCUUAUGGUCCAAACAGUUUACUGCCAUGGGAUGGGACUGCGGCCUAUCAGCUUGUUGGUGAGGUAAUGGCCCACCAAGGCGAUUACAGGUACGGGCUCUGAGAGGAGAAGCCCGGAGAUGGGUACUGAGACACGGACCCAGGCCCUAUGGGGCGCAGCAGGCGAGAAACCUUAGCAAUGUGCGAAAGCACGACUGGGUCAGUCCGAGUGAUUCCUGAUAAAGGAGUCUUUUGCCUGUCCUAAAAGCACAGGUGAAUAAGGGGUGGGCAAGUCUGGUGUCAGCCGCCGCGGUAAUACCAGCACCUCGAGUGGUCAGGACGUUUAUUGGGCCUAAAGCAUCCGUAGCCGGCUCUGCAAGUCUUCGGUUAAAUCCACCUGCUCAACAGAUGGGCCGCUGGAGAUACUACAGAGCUAGGGAGUGGGAGAGGCAGACGGUAUUCAGUGGGUAGGGGUAAAAUCCUCUGAUCCAUUGAGGACCACCAGUGGCGAAGGCGGUCUGCCAGAACACGUUCGACGGUGAGGGAUGAAAGCUGGGGGAGCAAACCGGAUUAGAUACCCGGGUAGUCCCAGCUGUAAACGAUGCAAACUCGGUGAUGCAUUGGCUUAUGGCCAACGCAGUGCCGCAGGGAAGCCGUUAAGUUUGCCGCCUGGGAAGUACGGACGCAAGUCUGAAACUUAA